rnacentral:misc_RNA from 1 species
GAAAUGCGAUAAGUAAUGCGAAUUGCAGAAUUUCCGUGAGUCAUCGAAUCUUUGAACGCACAUUGCGCCCAUUGGCAUUCCGAUGGGCAUGCCUGUUCGAGCGUCAUUAUCCUCCCUCAAACCCCGGGUUUGGUGUUGGACCCAUGUUGUGCGGUGAACAACUGGUCUCAAAGGCAAUGACGGCGUCCGUGGGACCCUCGGUGCAACGAGCUUUUCAGGAGCACGCGUCGAGUUGCAAGGACCCUCCGGGCCGGUCUACCUACAGCUACUUUCAGGUUGACCUCGGAUCAGGUAGGAAUACCCGCUGAACUUAAGC